AUUGAACGCUGGCGGCAUGCUUUACACAUGCAAGUCGAACGGUAACAGGCCUUCGGGUGCUGACGAGUGGCGAACGGGUGAGUAAUGCAUCGGAACGUACCCAGAGGUGGGGGAUAACGCAGCGAAAGCUGUGCUAAUACCGCAUGUGAUCUGAGGAUGAAAGCGGGGGACCGAGCAGCAAUGUUUGGCCUCGCGCCUUUGGAGCGGCCGAUGUCGGAUUAGCUAGUUGGUGGGGUAAAGGCCUACCAAGGCGACGAUCCGUAGCUGGUCUGAGAGGACGACAGGCCACACGGGGAGUGAGCCAGGCCCCAGACUCCUACGGGAGGAAGAAGUGGGGAAUUUUGGACAAUGGGCGCAAGCCUGAUCCAGAAAGCCCGCGUGCGGAAAGAAGGCUUUCGGGUUGUAAACCGCUUUUGGAAGGAAGAAAACGGUGUCCGCUAAAACCGGGCGCUAAUGACGGUACCUGCAGAAUAGCACCGGCUAACUACGUG
rnacentral:rRNA from 1 species